GGAGGGGUGGCCGAGUGGUUAAAGGCGACAGACUGUAAAUCUGUUCUCAUUGAGUACACUGGUUCGAAUCCAGUCCCCUCCACCA
rnacentral:tRNA from 1 species